rnacentral:rRNA from 1 species
UAAGGGCGCACGGUGGAUGCCUUGGCACUAGAAGCCGAUGAAGGACGUUACUAACGACGAUAUGCUUUGGGGAGCUGUAAGUAAGCUUUGAUCCAGAGAUUUCCGAAUGGGGAAACCCAGCAUGAGUUAUGUCAUGUUAUCGAUAUGUGAAUACAUAGCAUAUCAGAAGGCACACCCGGAGAACUGAAACAUCUUAGUACCCGGAGGAAGAGAAAGAAAAUUCGAUUCCCUUAGUAGCGGCGAGCGAAACGGGAAGAGCCCAAACCAACAAGCUUGCUUGUUGGGGUUGUAGGACACUCUAUACGGAGUUACAAAGGACGACAUUAGACGAAUCAUCUGGAAAGAUGAAUCAAAGAAGGUAAUAAUCCUGUAGUCGAAAAUGUUGUCUCUCUUGAGUGGAUCCUGAGUACGACGGAGCACGUGAAAUUCCGUCGGAAUCUGGGAGGACCAUCUCCUAAGGCUAAAUACUCUCUAGUGACCGAUAGUGAACCAGUACCGUGAGGGAAAGGUGAAAAGCACCCCGGAAGGGGAGUGAAAUAGAACCUGAAACCGUGUGCUUACAAGUAGUCAGAGCCCGUUAAUGGGUGAUGGCGUGCCUUUUGUAGAAUGAACCGGCGAGUUACGAUUUGAUGCAAGGUUAAGCAGUA